GAUGAACGCUGGCGGCGUGCCUAAUACAUGCAAGUCGAGCGAACAGACGAGGAGCUUGCUCCUCUGACGUUAGCGGCGGACGGGUGAGUAACACGUGGAUAACCUACCUAUAAGACUGGGAUAACUUCGGGAAACCGGAGCUAAUACCGGAUAAUAUAUUGAACCGCAUGGUUCAAUAGUGAAAGACGGUGUUGCUGUCACUUAUAGAUGGAUCCGCGCCGCAUUAGCUAGUUGGUAAGGUAACGGCUUACCAAGGCGACGAUGCGUAGCCGACCUGAGAGGGUGAUCGGCCACACUGGAACUGAGACACGGUCCAGACUCCUACGGGAGGCAGCAGUAGGGAAUCUUCCGCAAUGGGCGAAAGCCUGGCGGAGCAACGCCGCGUGAGUGAUGAAGGUCUUCGGAUCGUAAAACUCUGUUAUUAGGGAAGAACAAAUGUGUAAGUAACUAUGCACGUCUUGACGGUACCUAAUCAGAAAGCCACGGCUAACUACGUG
rnacentral:rRNA from 1 species